GAUGAACGCUGGCGGCGUGCCUAAUACAUGCAAGUCGAGCGAACAGAUGAGGAUCUUGCUCCUCUGACGUUAGCGGCGGACGGGUGAGUAACACGUGGAUAACCUACUUAUAAGACUGGGAUAACUUCGGGAAACCGGAGCUAAUACCGGAUAAUAUAUUGAACCGCAGGGGGGAAUAGUGAAAGACGGUGUUGGGGUCAGGUAUAGAGGGAUCCGAGCCGCAUUAGCUAGUUGGUAAGGUAACGGCUUACCAAGGCAACGAUGCGUAGCCGACCUGAGAGGGUGAUCGCCCACCCUGGAACUGAGCCGCGGUCCAGGCUACUACGGGAGGCCGCAGUAUGGAAUCUUCCGCAGUAGGCGACAGCUUGACGCAGCGAGGCCACGUGAGAUAUGACGGUCUUCGGAUCGUAAAACUCUGUUUUUGGGGAUAAACAACUGUGUAAGUAACUAUGCACGUCUUGACGGUACCUAGUCAGAAAGCCCCGGCUAACUACGUG
rnacentral:rRNA from 1 species